rnacentral:rRNA from 1 species
CCCACGAUAGUUACAAGACGGUACGCCUGCCCAGUGACCAUGUUGUUCAACGGCCGCGGUAUUUCUGACCGUGCAAAGGUAGCGUAAUCACUUGUCUUUUAAAUAAAGACUAGUAUGAAUGGCAUCACGAGAGUUCAACUGUCUCCCCCACCCAAUCAGUGAAACUGAUCUCCCCGUGCAGAAGCGGGGAUAAAAUCAUAAGACGAGAAGACCCCAUGGAGCUUUAAACUAAAGGCACUAGCCCUCAAAUUACCCCUAAGGGUAAAACAUUUAACUGGCUAAAGUGACCCGCCGUUUUCGGUUGGGGCGACCACGGAGAAAAACAGAUCCUCCGAGAUGAAAGGGAUAACCCUUAGCCAAGACCAACAAUUCUAAGCAAUAGAACGUCUAACACACUGAUCCAAUCAAAUUGAUCAACGAACCAAGUUACCCUGGGGAUAACAGCGCAAUCUAUUUUCAGAGUUCAUAUCGACAAAUAGGUUUACGACCUCGAUGUUGGAUCAGGGCCUCCUAGCGGUGCAGCCGCUGCUAAGGGGUUCGUUUGUUCAACGAUUAAAGCCCUACGUG